rnacentral:lncRNA from 1 species
CAGAGAAGACUUUUAAUUUAGUCAAGGAUGGGGCAGUUUAAAGCAAUGUGCCGUUAGUUACAAAGGAAUCCAGUUAGGAAAGAGUUGUGCAGUCUGUGAUAACUUCAUGGUUGUCCCACAUACGCUUUGUUGUGGUGUCUGCAGUCUGAAGAAAGCUCUGUUGGCUGGUGAUGAAGCUUUCCAUCAUUUAGCAGGAGCCAGGAUGGAUUCCCACCACUUUGUCCCGUCAGCAGAGGUGUGUCUGGCCUGCCACAGGAGGCAGGCUGGCCUGUGUCCCAAGGGCAGCAUCACAAAGGGUACAAUGUAUGAAAAAGUCUCUGCAGAAGUGGCUAUCACUUAUGUAGAUAAAAGACAGGGACCAGCUGAUUUGUUUCCUUCUGGAAGAACCAUUUAAUGUGUUGGUUCAGUCAUGAUGUGACAGGAAGAUGGAAAAAGUUGAAGUGGAAUUGAGCACCACAAAACAACUGUGCUAAAUAUUAAAUAAAUUAAUAAAUCCUUGUAACGAG